GAUACGAACAUUGAUGAUAGUGAUGGUGAUGGUGUUGAUAGUGAUGGUGAUAUUAGUGAUGGUGAUGGUAGUGAUGGUGAUGGUAGUGAUGGUGAUGAUACGAACAUUGACGAUAGUGAUGGUGUUGAUAGUGAUGGUGAUGUGUUGAUAGUGAUGUGAUGAUGGUGAAGGUGUUGAUAGUGAUGGUGAUGAUAGUGAUGGUAGUGAUGGUGAUGGUAGUGAUGGUGAUGGUGUUGAUAGUGAUGGUGAUGAUAGUGAUGGUGAUGAUACGAACAUUGAUGAUAGUGAUGGUGAUGGUGAUGGUGUUGAUAGUGAGUCUUCAAAUGUCAUGGGGAAAAGACGACACAUUUCGACAUCUACUAACAGAGCCGUGGUGCCAUUGUUUCAUGAUGCUCAAUGAUAAUUGCAGGUUGCUGGUUGAUCCGCUAACGAUCAAAGCCUCCAUAUUUCUCCUGUUUCUUCUAAAAAAGUCUCAAAAAGCCAUCCUCCCAUCUUCCUCUCCUCAUUUCCUCUCCUCCUCUUCAUCCUCCUCUUCCUCCUGCUCUUCAAAUGUCAGGCAGACAGAGGGAUGUAACAGGUGGUUGAGGAGAGAGUGAUUUUUGAACUCAGUCGAGAAAAGAGUAAGUUGUGUGUGUGUGUGUGGGGGGGUGUCUAUGUUUCUAGUCCAAUGGCUAGACACCGGAAAUCUUAGUGUCCUGUAGAUAGAGGAGGCGAAGCGAUGGAACUUCCCUAGCCAUUGGCGUUUCUCCCUCGUCCUUAAGCCAAUCAGAAUGUUCCCUCCCUUUAAAGAGAGACAAGCUCUAGCCUUUUUCUGUUAAUUGUGAAACUAUGAUGAAAUGAUUAUGACAAUAAGCGUAUGUAUGAAUAUAAACGUAUGUAAUAAUGUACAUGACAAUGUAACACUAAAACCUACAGCUUCUUUCACAUGACAACACAGCUACAGUGGUUUGGGUAUAAGAAGAUAAUGUGUGUGUGUGUGUGUGUGUGUGUGUGCUUGUGAAUGUAUUUGUGUGCACAUUUAUAUUUAUGAGCUUUUGUCUUUUGUGAGAGCAUUCACAUGCAUUGUCUGUGUGUGUGUGUGUUCUGUCGUGCCUGCCUGUGUGUGUUUGUGUGUUCCUUCCUGCCUGUGUGUGUGUGUGUGUGUGUGUGUGUGUGUGUAACAGAGAUGCCUCAGCAGUCCAUAUGGACAUUCUAGGUUCCCUGUGUACUUUCCUGACCCAUAGAGAGACCCAUAGAGAGACCCAUAGAGAAACCCAUAGAGAGACCCAUAGAGAAACCCAUAGGGAGACCCAUAGGGAGACCCAUAGGGAGACCCAUAGAGAGACCCAUAGGAAGACCCAUAGGGAGACCCAUAGAGAGACCCAUAGGGAGACCCACAGGGAGACCCAUAGGGAGACCCAUAGAGAGACCCAUAGAGUCUCAUAGAGAGACCCAUAGAGAGACCCAUAGGAAGACCCAUAGAGAUACCCAUAGGGUGACCCAUAGAGAGACCCGUGACCCAUAGAGAGACCCGUGACCCAUAGAGAGACCCAUAGGGAGCCCCAUAGAGAGACCCAUAGAGAGACCCAUAGAGACACCCAUAGUGAGACCCAUAGGGAGACCAAUAGGGAAACUCAUAGAGAGACCCAUAGGGAGAUCCACAGAGAAACCCAUAGAGAGACCCAUAGGGAGACCCGUGACCCAUAGGGAGACCCAUAGGGAAACCCAUAGGGAGACCCACAGAGAGAUCCACAGAGAGAUCCACAGAGAGACCCAUAGAGAGACCCACAGAGAGACCCACAGAGAGACCCACAGAGAGACCCACAGAGAGACCCACAGAGAGACCCACAGGGAGACCCAUAGAGAGACCCAUAGGGAGACCCAUAUGGGGAAUUAUAUUUCGGGUUCAUGUUGCUUCUUGUCUGCAGCUCUCCGUUGAAUGUUGCUGAGGUUUGAUUUGGUUAUUAUCUGUAUUCCCAUUGCAGCUAUCUGUUGAAUGUUACUGUGGUUUCAUAUAUUUUUGAUAUUUGAUUGUAUUGCUACCCCAGGGGUAAUCUAAUUGUGGGUUUAGGAUUUGUUUAAGCUUGCUUCCUUGGACAUAGUCAGUUGGCCUCGUUGGUCCCUGGAAAACUAGUCUUAUUCAAAUGUUAUGAAUAGGUUUUUCACUUGACAUCAAUACAAUACACGAUACUGAUAUGUUUGUUUGAAUCAGGUUUAAUACGGUGGACCGUUAAAAUAUACCACUUCUCUGUGGAAUGUUGAUUUAGAUGGAGGACCAACCAACCUAUUCAGAAAUAACACACGAUGAUACGGAAACAGAAAAGAUAGAAUGAAACCAACCCCUUAAAUAUGACUACGAAUCUGCAUAAUUGUAUUUAUGAAUUUAAAUCUAUUCUAAUCUGUGUCAGGGAAACCCCUUGUGUCCAAUGCAAGAUUAUUCUGCCUUGACAUGAUGUGAAUGUGUGUCUCGUUUAUGAAUUUUGUUCAGUUUAUGUUUUUCAGUUUGGCUUUUCUUAGAACUAAGAACAAUUUUUAUUAUUUUUGUUACAUAGAAUAAAAACACUUUGAUGUUGAAAUGA